rnacentral:tRNA from 1 species
GCCUCCGUGGCGCAAUCGGUUAGCGCGUUCGGCUGUUAACCGAAAGGUUGGUGGUUCGGUCCACCCGGUGGCG